GUAGUCACAAUAGUAGAAUUGUACUGGUAUAAAAAUAGACACAUAGACCAGUGGAAGAGAAUAAAGAACCCAGCAAUAAACUGAAAUACUUACAGGUAAUUGAUUUUCGAUAAAGCAAACAAAAACAUAAAAUGAGGAAAGGAUACCCUUUUCAACAAAUGGUGCUG